UCUCCAGUGGCCUAGUGGCUAGAGCAUCGGCCUAAGAUGAAGAAGGUUAUGGGUUCGAACCCCAGCCGUGUGAU